rnacentral:ncRNA from 1 species
CUUUGGGGCGGGGUGUGAUUCCCCACCGGCGGUAUAGCCCGCUUACUCCUGUCAGUGACAGGAGCUGAUCCGGUGAAACUCCGGAGCCGACGGUAUAGUCCGGAUGAAAAAGGU